GGGUCCGGACACACUGAGGAUUGACAGGUUUUAUCCAUAUGUUUUACAUAUGGUGUCAAAAAUGCUAGUCCUUUCAUGAUUAUGUGAUAGGUGGUGCAUGGCCGUUCUUAGUUCGUGGAGUGAUCUGUCUGCUUAAUUGCGUUUCACUACGAAUCUACUUUAAACGUGUGUUUGUGAGAUGGACUGAUCCCUCCCACCUCGGUGCGGAGUUGUGCGUCUUUCCAUCGUUAUCACAUCGCACAACGUGGAUUCUGAAAGCAACGAACGUGACCGCAACCUCUUGUUGCCUGUAUUUCCAAACAGUUUGCACUCCGUGCUCUCUGUAUAAACAGGCUUUAUACUAAUAAACUAGAGGGACCGCUGUUACUCUCUUAAACCAGAGGAAGGUUGCGGCAAUAACAGGUCUGUGAUGCCCCUAGAUGUUCCGGGCUGCACACGUGCUACAAUGAUUAUUGCAGUGAGCAUCUCAUAUUUUACACAUCACUUGCAUGAGCUCCUUAGCCUCUGGUUAUGGUGUCUUUAUGCGUGAUAAAGCCUGCUUCGAAAGUAAGUGGGU
rnacentral:rRNA from 1 species